CCUACGGGUGGCAGCAGUGGGGAAUAUUGCACAAUGGGGGAAACCCUGAUGCAGCAACGCCGCGUGAGUGAAGAAGUAUUUCGGUAUGUAAAGCUCUAUCAGCAGGGAAGAAGAUGACGGUAUCUGAGUAGGAAGACCCGGCUAACUACGUGCCAGCAGCCGCGGUAAUACGUAGGGGGCAAGCGUUAUCCGGAUUUACUGUGUGUAUAGGGAGCGUAGACGGUGAGACAAGGCUGAAGUGAAAGCCCGGGGCUCAACCCCGGAACUGCAUUGGAAACUGGCUGACUGGAGUGCUGGAGAGGCAAUCGGAAUUCCUUGUGUAGCGGUGAAAUGCGUAGAUAUUAGGAAGAACACCAGUGGCGAAGGCGGAUUGCUGGACAAUAACUGACGUUGAGGCGCGAAAGCGUGGGGAGCAAACAGGAUUAGAUACCCCUGUAGUC
rnacentral:rRNA from 1 species